rnacentral:lncRNA from 1 species
GGGUUUUCGGGUUUUUGUUUUGCUUGAUUUCAUUUUCCAUAAUGGCUGCUGAUCGUGAUAAAGGCUGGACUCUUGACUCAUUUCAUCGUUAUAUCGAAUUUAGGUAUGUUUAAGACUUGCUCUUUAGUUUCCUAGGUUGAUUUCUGCAGGAAAAUUUCGAUUAUAUGUUAGGAAUAUCACCUACACAUGAAUUUGGUUCGAAAGAAACAAAAAAAUAUUUGAGAAUCAAAAAAAAAAAUGCAGACUGACCUAUUCAUAAAAUUAUAUGGAACUGCUGCAGGUACUGUUUGACAGUGAAUGUGAUAGGAUUUAUAUACUCGGCCUUACAAGGAUUUGAUCUUGCAUACCAGUUAUUCUCCUCUGAUGGUAAUAAACUUCUUGUGCCUGCAUCUCAUCUCCGCAAUAUUGUUGAUUUUGCCUCCGAUCAGGUGUCUUUUUCCGUCUACUUUUGAUUGUCAUUCUGCUUUAUUCUGCUUGAAUUCAUCAUUUUUUAUCGAAGUUGAUCAAGUCCUGUGUAAAAGAAGAAUGCAACAAACGUACCCUGAUAUCACUAUCUGGUUAAUUUUAAUCAACUCCUUGAGGUGACAUUGAUCAAUUCAUAAAAUUAGAGAUGCAGUUCUUUAGGACGUUUUCAAAGCACUAUUUAUGUAGAUUGAAAGGUGAGUGAAAGUCUACUGCCGAAAUGAUGCCUAGCCAUAAUCUAAGAGAAAAAAGCUAAAAGAAUAAGAGAGGCCCUCUGAACGCACUGCAUAAGAGACAAGAGCUAGAUUAUAAAAUAUUAUGAUAUUCCUAAGUAGAUGGUUUCGAUUAAUUGAGUAAAAAUCCACCUGAAAUUUUUUUUUAUUUUGGUUUUUGUUUAAACUUCAGAGCAGCAUAAAUAUCCGUUCCUUUAAGACUCUCCG